CAUUGCAUGUAUGGCAUGUUCCAUACUCAGUAUGAUGUGAACAGACCUUUGCAUUAGAUGGAUCUUUGCACUUGGUAUAACUAAAGGAAGUUGUGUUUAAGCAGGAAAGUGGAAAGCAUUUUUUUUGCAGGACCAAGUAAGACAAAUCUGCUGGAAGACAAACAAUUGUAGGAAUGACUGCACUGAGGUGUUGAAUCUUUUGAUACUGCAUGCAUAAGGCUACUAAUUAUCAGAAAAGUCAUCAAAAACCUGCUGGAUUAAUUAGAUGGACAGGUAUUAAGUAUCCCAGAAGUGGUGGAACUGGAACUGCCAUCAUAAAAUAAUGUUUUAAAGGCCAGCAUCAGCAUUGCUUGGGAACAGUGGGAUUUUGACCUAGACUUGGAGUGGGUAGUUUUGGGAGUUUGUGUGAAUUCUGCUAAAUAUUAAAAAUCCUUGUUAUGUUUGGGGUCAGGAAAGUCAUGGAAGGUAAGGUGCUAGGAGCAAAAGUCUUUGUAGUUGCUGCCAUAAGCACAUUUACAUUGAGGACUAAUUAUUCCUAAAUUUGUCUGUUUAAUUCCAAUUUCUUCUCUGAAUAAUAAGAAUUACUGUCUGCAAAAUGCAAAUAGUCCUUGCAUGCUAUGUCCAAGCUGUUAUAUUCUCAAAUACAUAGAACUUCAUUAGUCAGAAGAAAGCAUUAAGAAAUGUUCUAUCCUUAGGUCAGUCCAAUUCCACCAUCCUAUUCUAAGGUCAGAUUAGCAGUUUGUGAACUUGAAUUAACUGAUUUGGGUUGAGAUAACCUGAUUUGAACUGACUGCAUUUGUACUUUCACCAUGUAUCAGAUCUUAAGAGAUGAAAAAGGAUUUUAUGAGAUGACUUUGAAGUGGUGAAAUUGCUGGAAGAUAAUUUUUAGUUAUUAAAUUUGAAAAACUAACAAGCAAAUAAACCAACUAUGUAAGUGUGAACCUUUCUCUUA
rnacentral:lncRNA from 1 species